GCAAGAGAGAGAGUCCAGGGACCGGCUCCUCGGCGGGUGCAAACUGGCAGAGCCCUCUGGACUCCAGUGGAGGGACGCCAGUUCACACCCGCUGGGGAUCAUCCGGUAGGAUGAUGCUGAUUUACACCCGCUGGGGAUCUGGCCCCAGUGAGGCUGCAGGCGUCUCUCCCGCACGGUGCGAUUCUCUUUGCCCUUGUCCCACAGACGGCGCGAGCAGCAGCGGAGGAGGGCAGGAUCCGACCCGCACAGGGCCAGUCACGUCCCUCACCAUCUGGGCCGCCCGCUGCGCUCUGGUCCUGCUCCUCCUGGUGUCUGUUCCCGUCAUCACCUUCAUACUGGAGAAACGGGGCCUGUCCGAGCCUGCAAGGCUGGAGGAGACUCCUCGGGAAGCAGCAGCAUCAUGGGAAUGAAAGGCCUGGGAAUGGGAGAACCCCAUUGACCAGCUGUGAGCAGGAGGCGGGGUGGGGAGAGGCCUGGGAAGAUACCAGUGCCCAGCUCUGAGAGGGGGUUGGGGAGACACCAUUGGUCAGUGCUGCACAAUAGGCCCCUGCGGUAACUGUCUUUGCCCAGGUAACUCCUGCAGCCUCCUUCAGUCCCCCUCCCUUCCCCAGUUGGGAUGCUGUCAGUCACUCUGCCCUGCAGCCUGCAGCCCUCUGCUCACUCCCAGGCAGGCCAGGGCCAGGCCAAGUUCUUACCCAACCAAGAGCUGUCUCAGACAGACAGCCCAACCCAGCUCCUUCCUUCUGUACAAAUAAUCCCUGCAGAGAGGCUGUAAGUUUAGAAAAGGAGGAUGGGCUAGUUGUUAAGGCACCAAGGUGGAACUUCUGGGAGAUGCUCUGCGACAGAGUCCUUGGACCUGUCACUGCCUCUCUCUGGGCCUCAGCUCCUCAUCUUUGAAAUGGGGACAAUAAUUCUGCCUUGCCUAAGGGGAGAAUUUUCAAAGCCCCUAAGGGAUUUAGGAGCACAAGUGUGUGACUGUGCUCUGUGCCCACUGCCUGGUGCUCCCUCAGGUGCUUUUGAAUAUCUCCCCCUUAGUUUGGGAACUCCUCCGGCCAGGGGCUGUCUCUCACUAAGGGUUCAUCUGCACAGGGAAAUGGACCAGAAGAACUACACUGGUGUCAUAAAAUCACUGCAGUUAUUCCGGGAUAACGCUCCAUGGGGACAUUCUUAUUCCGGAAUCAGAGAGCCCUGGUCAGGGUUUGUUUACACCAUUUUCAAAGUGACAUAAGCUAAACUGGACAAAGCCCCUCAUACACUGGAAUAAAGAUGUCCCCACGGGGAGUUAUUCAGGGAUAGCUCUCGUGGGCUAGGUAGACCAAUGUGGUUCUCCUGGUCAAUUUUCCCCAUUCAGACCAGACCUGAGUGUCUGUGCAGCACCCAGAGCAAAGGGGCCCUGACCUUGGCUGUGGUCUCUGAAGGGUCCUUUUAUAUAAAUAAUAACGGCAAAAUGCAGUCAGGGCUAACCUGUGUAGGGUGCAGCGGCCUUUCCCACCACUGGAAGGACGCAUGCCCCCCUGGGAUGUCUCAUGUCUAUACAGGGCCUUCAGCGAUACACACUUUCACAUCUGGGAACGUAGAUGGUGGCAUCAGGGUCCAUUGUGGGGUUUACAGACAAUGUGCAAUUCUUAAAAUAGGGGAGCAGAGAUAAGAAGAAACCCCUGGUAAUGUUUCAUCUCUGACCUCUUCAGCCUUUUCCAGGUGAAGGUACCUACCUACCCACUAGAUGGGGCUUUGCAACAAUCCCAUUGCAAAACUCCACCUUACCUAUGGUUUCCGUGUGUUUCCAUGCCCAGACCUGAAGAAGAGCUCUGUGCAAGCUCAUAAGCUUCUCUCCCACCAACAGAUGCUUGUCCAAUAAACGAUAUUACCUCCCCCA